rnacentral:rRNA from 1 species
GCUUGACUGUAUCCUGGAAUUGGGUUUCGGUUUUUCUUGCGCAGUCUAGGUGGGAGCUAUGAAGAUUUCCUUCCGGGGAAAUUAGAGCCCAUCAGUGAGAGACCACUCUGGAAGAACUAAAAUUCUAAUGGCGUUCCUUGAAUCAGGACGCUUGACAUUUUCAGGUGGGCAGUUUUUCUGGGGCGGAAGCCUCAUAAAGCGUAACGGAGGUGUGCAAAGGUUCUUUCAGCCUGGACGGAAUCAGGCAUUGAGUGCAAAGGCAAAAGGGAGCUUGACUGCAAGACCUACAAGUCGAGCAGGGGCGAAAGCCGGCUUAGUGAUCCGACGAUUCCAAGUGGAAGGUCGUCGCUCAACGGAUAAAGUUAGUCUAGGGAUA